GAAAUAUUUCUAAGUAGUUUUUUUAGUCUUGACAUGCUACAUAUUUUUCUGAUAGGUGUUAUGUUCUUUCUGUUGCUUCCUACCACUGUGGAGUCCCCAGUUUUCCCUAUGGUUUCCUGCUGAUGAGCAGCAGUUACAUAGUCAUAAAAUCUAGUUACGACUUCUUUGCUAGAACUAAACAAAAAAGAUCAUCUUUUGAGCACCCAGCAGGAAAAAGAUACAGGUCCCAAAUCAACUGGAUGUGAACAGCUCCUGCACUGAGAUGACCGAUGCCCUAAAGAUGUAAAUGUAGAGCCAUCAGUGAGGAGCCUGGGGCUCCCCUCUCAAGGUGCCCCGUGACUGCUUUGACAUUAAGGACUUUGAUUCACAGACUGUGCAGUUCUGAGGAGGACAAAGACAUCCACAUAACUGUUGUUUUGAUAGGUGUCUGGGGUGAUACUUCAAAAUCCUAGUGUUGGAGACAAGCCUCCCCUCUAACCUAGAUUUGUGCAACAAUUUUGACCUUGAAAGAUUUUGAAAAUGAAAGGAAUACUCUAUUUUCCCCUUUUUUUAACUUAUCAAAAGACUUCGUUAAAUUAAAACAAGUGGAUUAAAACACAAGAUCAAUGUGACCUUUCUUUCUGGUAAAAUAUGGCAUUCCUCUAGCUCUAUGCCUAUUCAGAAUUUGCUGUCCUUUUUCCUGUCCAUUAUAUUCACGAAUAUAUGUCUAUUAUAUUCAUGAAUUCAUAACAAAUUCCCAAAGCAUUUAUGGAUGCCUUACAUUCCAGGCUCUUAAGAAACUUAGUCUUUAAGAGACCUCAGAAAGCAGGCUUUCUAGUGCCAGGGAUUAAGUCACUGCUUGGGACACCUGCAUCCCAUGUCUGAAUGCCUGUUUGAGUCACAGUUACUCUAUGUUUUAGGUCCAGCUUCCUGCUAAUGUUCCUGGAGGGAAGCAUAUGAUGGUCCAAGUAUUUGGAUCUCUGCCACCCACAUGGAAGACCUGGAUGGAAUUCCUGGCUCCUGACUUCAG
rnacentral:lncRNA from 1 species